rnacentral:rRNA from 1 species
UACAGAGGGGGCAAGCGUUGUUCGGAAUUACUGGGCGUAAAGGGCGCGUAGGCGGCCGCCUAAGUCAGACGUGAAAUCCCUCGGCUUAACCGGGGAACUGCGUCUGAUACUGGAUGGCUUGAGUUUGGGAGAGGGACGCGGAAUUCCAGGUGUAGCGGUGAAAUGCGUAGAUAUCUGGAGGAACACCGGUGGCGAAGGCGGCGUCCUGGACCAAUACUGACACUGAGGAGCGAAAGCCAGGGGAGCAAACGGG